UGGUGGAGCGUUUUGUCUGGUUAAUUCCGAUAACGAACGAGACUCUAGCCUAUUAAAUAGUUCGCCGAUCAUGUUACGUCGGCGUCAACUUCUUAGAGGGACAAGUGGCGUUUAGCCACGCGAGAUUGAGCAAUAACA
rnacentral:rRNA from 1 species